UUGCUUCGAGCCAGUCACGAUAUGAUUUCUCUCUAGGUGCCGUGGAUCAUCUCGACAUGCCUGAGCACGUUGAGAGGAGACAUGACAGCGCGGCGAGUAGUGUACGGAGGCACGCGUCCUCCGUGUGUAUACGUGGGACCAAAGAGACUAGUCAACAGUCCGAUACACCGAGCAUCGACACACGCGGUUGUCGUAUUGUAUGCGGUAAAGAAGGAUGAAGGACCCGAAGGAGAUGAAAUUCCGAUCCUCGACGAGGAGGAGG